rnacentral:rRNA from 1 species
UGCCUGCCCGGUGAUUAGAUAAAAUUAAACGGCUGCGGUACUCUGACCGUGCAAAGGUAGCAUAAUCAUUAGCCUGUUAAUUUCAGGCUGGAAUCAAUGGCAAGACGAAGAAAGGGCUGUCUCUUUCUAUUAUUUUAGAAUUUUUCUUUUUGGUGAAGAGACCAAAAUGAAUAAGUGGGACGAGAAGACCCUAUUGAGCUUUAGUUAGUUAAUAGAAAAAAUUUUUUUUAAUCAACUUUGGUUGGGGCAACUGUUUAUAAAAUUAAAUAUAAAUAAAAACAAAAAUGAAUUAAAUCUUUAGUAUAAUAUAAAACCCAGAAUUUUUUUUUCUGCAUUUAAAAAAAGUUACCUUAGGGAUAACAGCGUAAUUCUUUUUGAGAGUACAUAUUGACAAAAGAGUUUGCGACCUCGAUGUUGGAUCAAGAUUUCCUGGAGGUGUAGUGGUUUCCAAGGGUUGGUUUGUUCAACCAUAAAAAUCUU